GUAGGUGAACCUGCGGAAGGAUCAUUACAUGAUAUCACGGGGGGCCGGAACCACUAAAGUGCGCCGCGCUUCGGUGUGAACGCACUUUGACCUGCCCUGUCUGCAUAUUAUACCCAUGAUUUUGCGUACCAUUUGUUUCCUUGGUGGGCUUGCCCACCUAUAGGACUCUAUAAAACCUUUUGUAAUUGCAGUCAGCGUCAGAAAAGUAUAAUAAUUACAACUUUCAACAACGGAUCUCUUGGUUCUG
rnacentral:misc_RNA from 1 species